GACGAAGGGGGCUAGCGUUGCUCGGAAUUACUGGGCGUAAAGCGAGUGUAGGUGGUUGUCCAAGUUGGAUGUGAAAGCCUUGAGCUUAACUCAAGAAAUGCAUUCAGGACUGGGCGACUAGAGGACCGGAGAGGAUAGUGGAAUUCCCAGUGUAGUGGUGAAAUACGUAGAGAUUGGGAAGAACACCAGUGGCGAAGGCGGCUAUCUGGACGGUUUCUGACACUAAGACUCGAAAGCGUGGGAGGCAAACAGG
rnacentral:rRNA from 1 species